GACCCUAUAGAGUUUUAUAAUCUUAUUGGUUUAAAUGUUUUGGUAUUAAUUAUUUAAAUCUUUAAGCUUAUUUGGUUGGGGUGACUGAAAAAUUAGAAAAACUUUUUUUAUAUAAUAACACUGAUUUGUGAAUACUUGAUCCAUUUUUUAUGAUUAAAAGAUAAAAUUACCUUAGGGAUAACAGCGUAAUUUUUCUUGAGAGUUCUAAUCGAAAGGAAAGUUUGCGACCUCGAUGUUGGAUUAAAAUAAACUUUUGGUGUAGCAGCUAUUAAAGUUUGGUCUGUUCGACCAUUAAAAUUUUACAUGAUCUGA
rnacentral:rRNA from 1 species